GAUGAACGCUGGCGGCGUGCCUAAUACAUGCAAGUCGAGCGAACAGAUGAUGAGCUUGCUCCUCUCUCGUUAGCCGCGCACGGGUGUGUCACACGUGGAUAACCUACCUAUAAGACUGGUAUAACUUCGGGACACCGGAGCUAAUACCGGAUGAUAUAUUGAAGCGCAUGGUUCAAUAGUGAAAGACGGUUUUGCUGUCACUUAUAGAUGCAUCCCCGCCGCAUUAGCUAGUUGGGACGGUCACGGGCUACCAAGGCAGCGAUGCGUAUCCGACGUGAGAGGGUGAUCGCCCACACUGGAAGUGGACCACGCACCAGACUCCUGCGGGAGGCAGCAGUAGGGAAUCGUCCGCAAUGGGCGAAAACCUGGCGGAGCAACGCCGAGUGAGUGAUGAAGGUCUUCCGAUCGUAAAACUCUGUUAUUAGGGAAGAACAAAUGUGUAAGUAACUAUGCACGGCUUGACGGUACCUAAUCAGAAAGCCACGGCUAACUACGUG
rnacentral:rRNA from 1 species